AGUGAACGCUGGCGGCAGGCCUAACACAUGCAAGUCGAACGGCAGCACGGCAGUAGCAAUACUGUGGGUGGCGAGUGGCGGACGGGUGAGGAAUACAUCGGGAUCUACCCUGUUGUGGGGGGAUAACGUAGGGAAACUUACGCUAAUACCGCAUAAGAACUGAGGUUGAAAGCGGCGGACCGCAAGGCGUCGCGCGAUUGGAUGAACCGAUGUCCGAUUAGCUAGUUGGCGGGGUAAAGGCCCACCAAGGCGACGAUCGGUAGCUGGUCUGAGAGGACGACCAGCCACACUGGAACUGAGACACGGUCCAGACUCCUACGGGAGGCAGCAGUGGGGAAUUUUGGACAAUGGGCGCAAGCCUGAUCCAGCCAUGCCGCGUGCGGGACGAAGGCCUCGGUUGUAACCGCUUCUAGCUGGAAGAAAUACGCUGUUUUUAAUACGGUACAGUGGAUGACGGUACCGGAAGAAGAAGCACCGGCUAAC
rnacentral:rRNA from 1 species